rnacentral:lncRNA from 1 species
AUUCCUUUAAGAAUCUUUAUUUAUUCCCCCAACAGUUUCUUUUUCUGCAUCCGCUGCUCUGUUAAGUGAUCACCACAUUCAUUGUUCUCGUUUCUAUUAUUUCUGAAAAAAAUCUUCAGGAUUCUGCUUGUGGGAGUGGAUGACAUUUUUACAGUGUUUACAGACACAAAAUGAACAAGAUGUCUGUGGCAACCCUCAGACCAUUGACGCCUUCUCUCCUAUGUAUCAAAUCACACAUUUGGACGUUGACUGAACCCUCACAUGUCAGAUGCUCAAUAUUGAGGUAUAGUAAAAGGGAGCAUGAACUUGAGAAAAUACGCUUUCAACACAAAGCUGUAAUAAUAUAAGGUCAAAUAAGAUUCUGCAUUGGAGAUAGAAAACUCUGAAGGAAGCUUUAUCUAUUCCAGAAUGUCAUAUAGCUGGUAUAAGAACCUGAAGAUUGGAUCUUCUGAGAACAUCAGAGAAAGACUGUCCUUGCCAUCCAUACUACAGCAAAACUUUGGGACCUUGAACUUUGGGUUCACAAUCUCACAACCAAGAAGGAUCCCUCUACAAUUUUGGAACAGUACACCCAUUGGAAACCUUAAGCAUUUCCUGAACAGGGAAAAGUUGAAAGCAUUCCCACUGAGAAAUGGAACAAGACAAGGAGGCCCACUCUUACCACUUCUGUUCGACAUAAUACUAGAAGUCCUAGACAGAGCUAUCAGAAAAGAGAAAGAAAUAAAUGGCAUUCAAAUCGGUAAAGAGGAAGUCAAACUGUUGCUAUUUGCUGGUGAUAUGAUCAUAUAUCAGAAAACUCUAAAGACUCCUCUAAAAAGUUCCUCAACUGGUAAAGGAAUUCAGGAGAGUUUCAGGAUACAAAAUUAAUGUACACAAAUCCAUUGCUCUGCUAUACACCAAUAGCAACCAAGCUGAGAAUCAAAUCAAGAACUCAACCCCUUUCACAAUAGCUGCAAAAAGUAAAAUAAAAUACUUAGGAAUACAUCUAACUAAGGACAUGAAGGGCCUGUACAAGGAAAAUUAAAAAACACCACUAAAAGAAAUAAUAAAUGAUACAAACAAA